UAAAGGAGAGAUCCGGCAUAGGAUGGACAUGCGUCGCAUUAGGUAGACGGCGGGGUAACGGCCCACCGUGCCGACGAUGCGUAGGGGUUCUGAGAGGAAGGCCCCCCACACUGGUACUGAGACACGGACCAGACUCCUACGGGAGGCAGCAGUGAGGAAUAUUGGUCAAUGGCCGAGAGGCUGAACCAGCCAAGUCGCGUGAGGGAAGAAUGUCCUAAGGAUUGUAAACCUCUUUUGUCGGGGAGCAAAAAGGCUCUGCGGAGUCGUAUUGAGAGUACCCGAAGAAAAAGCAUCGGCUAACUCCGUGCCAGCAGCCGCGGUAAUACGGAGGAUGCGAGCGUUAUCCGGAUUUAUUGGGUUUAAAGGGUGCGCAGGCGGCGUGUCAAGCAAGCGGUAAAAUAGCGGGGCUCAACCCCGUCGAGCCGUUUGAACUGGCGCGCUUGAGUUCAGGCGAGGUAGGCGGAAUUCGUGGUGUAGCGGUGAAAUGCAUAGAUAUCACGAAGAACUCCGAUUGCGAAGGCAGCUUACCAGUCUGCGACUGACGCUCAGGCACGAAAGUGUGGGUAUCGAACAGGAUUAGAUACCCUGGUAGUCCACACAGUAAACGAUGAGCGCUAGGUGUCCGGGUCGCAUGAGACUUGG
rnacentral:rRNA from 1 species